UACGUGAGGGGCAAACGUUGUUCGGUGUCACUGGGCUUAAAGGGUGCGUAGGUGGCUAUGUAAGUAAGGUGUGAAAGCCCUCGGCUUACCCGGGGAAUUGCGCCUUAAACUGCAUAGCUUGAGGGUCAGAGAGGUUGGAGGAACUCCAGGUGUAGCGGUGAAAUGCGUAGAUAUCUGGGGGAAGGCCGGCGGCGAAGGCGUCCAACUGGCUGAUUCCUGACACUGAGGCACGAAAGCGUGGGGAGCAAACAGG
rnacentral:rRNA from 1 species